rnacentral:rRNA from 1 species
GACGAACGCUGGCGGCAUGCCUAAUACAUGCAAGUCGAGCGAACAGAUGAAGUGCUUGCACUUCUGACGUUAGCGGCGAACGGGUGAGUAACACGUAAGGAAUCUACCUAUAAGCGGGGGAUAACAUUCGGAAACGGGUGCUAAUACCGCAUAAUAUCUUCUUCCGCAUGGAAGAAGAUUGAAAGACGGCUCUGCUGUCACUUAUAGAUGACCUUGCGGUGCAUUAGUUAGUUGGUGGGGUAACGGCCAACCAAGACGAUGUUGCAUAGCCGACCUGAGAGGGAGAUCGGCCACAUUGGGACUGGGACACGGCCCAAACUCCUACGGGAGGCAGCAGUAGGGAAUCUUCCGCAAUGGGCGAAAGCCUGACGGAGCAAUGCCGCGUGAGUGAAGAAGGCCUUCGGGUCGUAAAACUCUGUUAUAAGAGAAGAACAAAUUGUAGAGUAACUGCUACAGUCUUGACGGUAUCUUAUCAGAAAGCCACGGCUAACUACGUGCCAGCAGCCGCGGUAA